AUGGACCUUUGUGAUGUGAAACCAAGGCGUGUGGUUGCAAAUGGAAAGUGUGUCUCCACUGGUCGGGUUGAAGGGUACUCCACACCACACCCUCCACCACCCGCCCACACACACCCAGCCUCUCCAGCAGCUUCAGCGCUCUGUUGCCAGUGUACUAUGCUGCUUCCUUUUAUAUGGACUGAGUCAAGAUGGGAUCUUGUACGGAGGGAGCAGCAAUGUUACCUGGUGUGGAUGCAGAUGCUUUGAAAAGAAUCUUGUACAGUUUAGAGUUAAUUAGUAGACGUUCAAAGUUCUUUUACAAGGGUUCUUGAUCUUCUUUGUAUCAUGUUCCCUUCUGUCAAUAUGGUGGAAACUAUGUACUUCUCAGAAUAAUGUUUUGAAAUGCAUAAAAUAAAGUCCAUGGCAUUAUAAAGGAAACUAAAGGU
rnacentral:lncRNA from 1 species